rnacentral:rRNA from 1 species
AAUAGAUACCCAGGUAGUCCACGCCGUAAACGAUGUCGACUUGGAGGUUGUGCCCUUGAGGCGUGGCUUCCGGAGCUAACGCGUUAAGUCGACCGCCUGGGGAGUACGGCCGCAAGGUUAAAACUCAAAUGAAUUGACGGGGGCCCGCACAAGCGGUGGAGCAUGUGGUUUAAUUCGAUGCAACGCGAAGAACCUUACCUACUCUUGACAUCCAGAGAACUUGCCAGAGAUGGCUUGGUGCCUUCGGGAACUCUGAGACAGGUGCUGCAUGGCUGUCGUCAGCUCGUGUUGUGAAAUGUUGGGUUAAGUCCCGCAACGAGCGCAACCCUUAUCCUUUGUUGCCAGCGGUUAGGCCGGGAACUCAAAGGAGACUGCCAGUGAUAAACUGGAGGAAGGUGGGGAUGACGUCAAGUCAUCAUGGCCCUUACGAGUAGGGCUACACACGUGCUACAAUGGCGCAUACAAAGAGAAGCGACCUCGCGAGAGCAAGCGGACCUCAUAAAGUGCGUCGUAGUCCGGA